rnacentral:lncRNA from 1 species
GGAGAGAGGCUCAGGCUAAAACCUCACCCAGAAAAUGUAGAGGUCUUCAGCCUCCGACAUGAGAUCUAUGCUCUUUGCCCUGGAUUACACACAGAACCUUGGAAGCUGAGGAGCCCCAGGAGACAUUUGCAGUGGUAGAUGACAAAUCAAGGUCAGCAUGAAACACCAAGUGACCUGGGAUGGGACCAGCGUACUUUCAAAAGGAGAAGCAGCCUAUGAGAAAACAGCUUUUCCUCAGCAGCAUCUCCCUUGCAAAUGCUCCUUGUUCCACAUCCAGAAGUUUGCCAGAGCUGGAUAAAGCUGAUUUCCUCCCCUGGUGGCAGCAGCGGAUGCAGAGAACAAUAGUUUCCUUCAGUUCUUCCUCGUUGGGUUCUGUUUUCAUCAUCUUUCCUUCAACCUAUGGGACUCUGCCCACUUUGGAUCCUCCCAUGGUACUCCAGCUGAGAUCUCAACAGGGGAGCUGGCCGUCCUCUGUGCUAGGUGCUUUGCCCUCAUCUCUCCAUCACGGCUCGGGGACCCAAGGACUCAGUGUCACCCUGCUGUACCAACAUCCAUGGAGCAGGGAGUUGAGUUGAGAAAAAUAAAUAAAUAAAGAGCAAAAAAAAAAAAAAAAAA